rnacentral:rRNA from 1 species
AGGACGAACGCUGGCGGCAGGCUUAACACAUGCAAGUCGAGCGCCUCGCAAGAGGAGCGGCAGACGGGUGAGUAACGCGUGGGAAUCUACCCAUCCUUACGGAACAACUCCGGGAAACUGGAGCUAAUACCGUAUACGCCCUUCGGGGGAAAGAUUUAUCGAGGAUGGAUGAGCCCGCGUUGGAUUAGCUAGUUGGUGGGGUAAAGGCCUACCAAGGCGACGAUCCAUAGCUGGUCUGAGAGGAUGAUCAGCCACAUUGGGACUGAGACACGGCCCAAACUCCUACGGGAGGCAGCAGUGGGGAAUAUUGGACAAUGGGCGCAAGCCUGAUCCAGCCAUGCCGCGUGAGUGAUGAAGGCCCUAGGGUUGUAAAGCUCUUUCACCGGAGAAGAUAAUGACGGUAUCCGGAGAAGAAGCCCCGGCUAACUUCGUGCCAGCAGCCG